GGUGGAAAGCUCCGGCGGUUCAGGAUGAUCCCGCGGCCUAUCAGCUUGUUGGUGGGGUAACGGCCCACCAAGGCGACGACGGGUAGCCGGCCUGAGAGGGCGACCGGCCACACUGGGACUGAGACACGGCCCAGACUCCUACGGGAGGCAGCAGUGGGGAAUAUUGCACAAUGGGCGAAAGCCUGAUGCAGCGACGCCGCGUGAGGGAUGACGGCCUUCGGGUUGUAAACCUCUUUCAGCAGGGAAGAAGCGCAAGUGACGGUACCUGCAGAAGAAGCACCGGCUAACUACGUGCCAGCAGCCGCGGUAAUACGUAGGGUGCGAGCGUUGUCCGGAAUUAUUGGGCGUAAAGAGCUCGUAGGCGGCCUGUCGCGUCGGAUGUGAAAGCCCGGGGCUCAACCCCGGGUCUGCAUUCGAUACGGGCAGGCUGGAGUGUGGUAGGGGAGAUCGGAAUUCCUGGUGUAGCGGUGAAAUGCGCAGAUAUCA
rnacentral:rRNA from 1 species